AUAUCACGUUGAAGAAUCGGUUCUCGUACGAUCACAGAAGUUAAACAACGUUGAUCCUGGUCAGUACCUAAAUGGGUAACCACUUGGUAAUACUAGGUGCUGUAAG